rnacentral:rRNA from 1 species
GAUGAACGCUAGCUACAGGCUUAACACAUGCAAGUCGAGGGGCAGCAUGGUCUUAGCUUGCUAAGGCCGAUGGCGACCGGCGCACGGGUGAGUAACACGUAUCCAACCUGCCGUCUACUCUUGGACAGCCUUCUGAAAGGAAGAUUAAUACAAGAUGGCAUCAUGAGUCCGCAUGUUCACAUGAUUAAAGGUAUUCCGGUAGACGAUGGGGAUGCGUUCCAUUAGAUAGUAGGCGGGGUAACGGCCCACCUAGUCUUCGAUGGAUAGGGGUUCUGAGAGGAAGGUCCCCCACAUUGGAACUGAGACACGGUCCAAACUCCUACGGGAGGCAGCAGUGAGGAAUAUUGGUCAAUGGGCGAGAGCCUGAACCAGCCAAGUAGCGUGAAGGAUGACUGCCCUAUGGGUUGUAAACUUCUUUUAUAAAGGAAUAAAGUCGGGUAUGCAUACCCGUUUGCAUGUACUUUAUGAAUAAGGAUCGGCUAACUCCGUGCCAGCAGCCGCGGUAAUACGGAGGAUCCGAGCGUUAUCCGGAUUUAUUGGGUUUAAAGGGAGCGUAGAUGGAUGUUUAAGUCAGUUGUGAAAGUUUGCGGCUCAACCGUAAAAUUGCAGUUGAUACUGGAUAUCUUGAGUGCAGUUGAGGCAGGCGGAAUUCGUGGUGUAGCGGUGAAAUGCUUAGAUAUCACGAAGAACUCCGAUUGCGAAGGCAGCCUGCUAAGCUGCAACUGACAUUGAGGCUCGAAAGUGUGGGUAUCAAACAGAAUUAGAUACCCUGGUAGUCCACACGGUAAACGAUGAAUACUCGCUGUUUGCGAUAUACAGCAAGCGGCCAAGCGAAAGCGUUAAGUAUUCCACCUGGGGAGUACGCCGGCAACGGUGAAACUCAAAGGAAUUGACGGGGGCCCGCACAAGCGGAGGAACAUGUGGUUUAAUUCGAUGAUACGCGAGGAACCUUACCCGGGCUUAAAUUGCAGAUGAAUUACGGUGAAAGCCGUAAGCCGCAAGGCAUCUGUGAAGGUGCUGCAUGGUUGUCGUCAGCUCGUGCCGUGAGGUGUCGGCUUAAGUGCCAUAACGAGCGCAACCCUUGUUGUCAGUUACUAACAGGUUCCGCUGAGGACUCUGACAAGACUGCCAUCGUAAGAUGUGAGGAAGGUGGGGAUGACGUCAAAUCAGCACGGCCCUUACGUCCGGGGCUACACACGUGUUACAAUGGGGGGUACAGAGGGCCGCUACCACGCGAGUGGAUGCCAAUCCCCAAAACCUCUCUCAGUUCGGACUGGAGUCUGCAACCCGACUCCACGAAGCUGGAUUCGCUAGUAAUCGCGCAUCAGCCACGGCGCGGUGAAUACGUUCCCGGGCCUUGUACACACCGCCCGUCAAGCCAUGGGAGCCGGGGGUACCAGAAGUGCGUAACCGCGAGGAGCGCCCUAGGGUA